CCAUCAUCUCCUCAUUUGUCAGAUUUUUUGCAUUGGGUAGAACCAGCAAGGAAUUUCAUUGAAGAAGGUCAAGGAUUGUCCGAAUUAGGGCUUGCUUCAAGUCUUCAUCUUGCUCCUGUGUCAGUUUCAACAGAUAUUCUACUUGGUUGGAUUUGCCUUGUUCUUUUUUG